AUUGAGCGCUGGCGGCAUGCUUUACACAUGCAAGUCGAACGGUAACAGGGUGCUUGCACCGCUGACGAGUGGCGAACGGGUGAGUAAUGCGUCGGAACGUGCCGAGUAGUGGGGGAUAACGCAGCGAAAGUUGUGCUAAUACCGCAUACGUACUGAGGUAGAAAGUGGGGGACCUUCGGGCCUCACGCUAUUCGAGCGGCCGACGUCUGAUUAGCUAGUAGGUGAGGUAAAGGCUCACCUAGGCGACGAUCAGUAGCGGGUCUGAGAGGAUGAUCCGCCACACUGGGACUGAGACACGGCCCAGACUCCUACGGGAGGCAGCAGUGGGGAAUUUUGGACAAUGGGCGAAAGCCUGAUCCAGCCAUGCCGCGUGUCUGAAGAAGGCCUUCGGGUUGUAAAGGACUUUUGUCAGGGAGGAAAUCCCUAGUGCUAAUAACACUGGGGGAUGACAGUACCUGAAGAAUAAGCACCGGCUAACUACGUGCCAGCCGCCGCCGUAAAAC
rnacentral:rRNA from 1 species